CAAUACCUGAGGGACAGAGAGCUGCUGAGGCUCUGGAUUUAGUCAACAGGUUCCACUUUGGGGUGGGCACACAAGAGGCACCACACUGGUCAGUAAACAAGACCUGGGCCCUGUUACUUCAGAAGUUUAUUUUCUAGAUUUCAUUUUCCAAAAUAUAUUCUGAGAAUCGCUAGUUUAUGGUUAUGUCAAUAAGUGUCACACAGGGUUAAAGGGAAGAGAAGGACCUACAUUUCAGCAAAGUCAAGCAGGUUUAUUUAUGUAAAAGUUAAAAACUGCAGUUCACUAAUAGGACACUUGGUCAUUUCACUCACUGGUUUUGACACUUGUGAGAUACAGGUAUUCUUUUUAUGUUCUUUUUCAGGUAUGUGAAGAGUUGACAGUGCCUGGCAAACAGAAAGCUCCAGCCACCCUGUAGCGCACGCUCUGACCAUCAAGCUCCCCGCACCAUCCCUAAGACCAGAUGGCAAAGCCCUGGCUCUUGCUAAGAGUGACUGGAAACCAGGGGACUGGGGCCCAGGAUUACCCUCUCGCUGCUGGCACAGCUCCCGAUAGUGCUGCCGCAGCUUCAGGAUGAGCUGGGAGCGGAACUGCUCCACUUCAGGGUGCGGUGGCAGCACGUCAGAAGGCCCUCGGUGCUUGAUGACAGCGUUGGUCUGGAUGUCCAGGUCCCAGUACACCCUUGGGGCACACACAGAAGCAAUGAAGAUGCUCUGCUUGCUGCCACCAUAUCCCCCAAAGUCCCGGCAAGCUGACCGUUAGCAAUGGGCACCCCCAAGCCAAUUAGCAGGGACUCACUCAGUGGGUCGAAGGAGAGCUGCUUGCUGUUUAUCUUCAGGGGAUGCACCCCAAAUCUUCAGCGUUGGAGUUCCUGGGACACUGGGGGAGCUGGGCACUGACUGGCCUGUGGGUGUCACAGGAAUUUCAAUCUACAGCAAAAGAGAGACAAAGGGACUGGAUCAGAAGACUUAGCAACCAGGCUCCAACACUGCGUAUCUGGUGAGCUGUGUCCUGGGCCCCCCUCCUGACCAGCCUGCCUAAGCCCAACUCUUGCAGGGAGCCUGUUGGCUGCCUGCCUGAGUUGGUCACUUACCAGCCAGGUCCUGAGAGCCCCGGACACUCACCUUGGGCUUCUUCACACCAUUGCCGCUUGGCUGCUCUUCCGAGAGCUGCCGCUUUCUGGGCUUGUUCUCAGGCGGGGGGGUUUCCACCAAGCUUGAAUCUUGGGGCAGUGGGGUCGCAUUCAGCCCCAAAGGGUCCGACUGGUGGAGGGAGACCAGCAGAGUUGCAACCAGGGCCAGGUGCUUCGGAGCCCUAGUACUUCGGACUCUCAUGCCCUCCCACCCUGCUCUACUCAGCGGAGAACACGGAGGCUGGGAUGCUGGUGGAGAACACCAGGCUCUGCUCCGGCCCGCUACCCGGAACUGUGUGGCCUUGGGUGAGCUACUUCCCUUCCUAAUUUCCUCACCUUCCAAAUGGCCACACAGAGCCCCACCUCACACUGGAGAUUACUACGUGAAUCAGCGAGUCCAACAUACAGCAUGAGAUCGGUGCUUGGUACAUUAUUUUAUUUUUCUUAAGAAUGAAAGGAAUAAAAGAGACUCAGAAAUGUUCAUAUUCAAAAGAUCAA